rnacentral:sRNA from 12 species
AACUUUAAACUAUAUAGCACUGAACCCAGUGUGCGAAAGCGAAAGCCAAGACCAUGGCUCUGGGAUGUAUUUGAACGAUGCGAGACAGGCUUGAAGGAUACUUUAAGUUCAGGCGUUGUCUGCACAUUAAGUGUGUAGGCGGUUCAUCGGCUGAGAUGAAUAUCAAGGAUGCAGUGCUACUAAUUGUGAGGAUACAGUACAACAAAGGCGUGCCAUCCACAAUAGAAAGGAUACGUGAAAAGCGGAUCCCGAAUCCUAAAACCUAGUGGCGUCGAAAACCAUGUAGUCAGUAGGAAACUCGAACAAGGUGGCGGAACACAAGAAAACGUAUAUAGAAAUAUGUACGAAACAAACGUCAGAAAGUUGGUACAAGUAGCUAAAGCGUGUUCAGUUUAUUUUUGACGCAGAUCAAAACAAGAUCAAUACACUAAGACUGAUUGGAAAAACUGAAUGGUUAGUGAACGUGGCAAGCAUCAAUCUUGUUGCAGCUAAGGGUUCCUUCGGGAAUUGGCAAUGAUAGUCGGAGAACGUACAACUCCAGGCUCAGAUCAUUGUUCUGUAUGACUCAAUCCGUAGCAAUUGGUGUAGUAAGGGGAAGCCCUCUGUGCUGUAUAGUUUUAAG